GUCAAGUUGGCUCCAGAAUGCUAAAUUCCGAAGAAAGCGAAGUUUUGUGCUUGGAUGGCUUCUUUGCUGAUGUUAAACGUUAUGGACUUAUUUCAAACCUCUUAUCCGUGGUUAUAGGUCCCUAAUAAGGUUGGGUGUGUCAAAGACGAUAGACAACGAGUACAUAUGACAUGGAUACAGAAAAAGCCGUGGAAAAAAAAACUUCUUAUC